rnacentral:rRNA from 1 species
UACGUAGGGGGCAAGCGUUGUCCGGAUUUAUUGGGCGUAAAGAGCGUGUAGGCGGCCAUACAGGUCAGCUGUGAAAACUCGAGGCUCAACCUCGAGACGUCGGUUGAAACCGUAUGGCUAGAGUCCGGAAGAGGAGAGUGGAAUUCCCGGUGUAGCGGUGAAAUGCGCAGAUAUCGGGAAGAACACCCGUGGCGAAGGCGGCCCACUGGGCCGGUGCUGACGCUGAGGCGCGAAGGCGUGGGGAGCGAACGGG